GUGACUGAAUUAGUUCUUGUUGCAACAAUAUAAAUAAUUUAGUCUCCAGAAAGUUUGCAACAAACAAUAUAACUUGAGAAUUCAAUGAAAAAUUAAAAAUCACAAGCAUUGAAUAUUUUUGCCAAUGAAAUAGUUGGAAUGAACUGAAAAUACCAAGGAAAUGUUAUACCAAGGACCUCCUUGCAUUAUAAUCCUUAGGACAAACCUGUAACCGCGUAAUUUACCGCGAAAAUUUGUUUACAAAAUCGGAACAUAAUAAAUUUAAAUAAUUUGUUUUUCUCUUAAGCAUAAUUUUAAUCUCAUGUAUAGCGUUUUUUACAAAUGAGGUUUCAAUACUUCUUCGGAUGGAGGAAGAAUUGUUCUUGUUCUCAUAAGUCGUUGAGCUUGUGAUCCUAACAUCUCAUUAUUUGGAGUGUUCCUAUGAGCUAACAAUGCUAAACAUGAUCUGCUUGAGCUUUCUUUAACAAUUUCCUUGCUGUUUGUACUGAAUGCUCUGCUAAUCCAUUCAACUGUGGAUGUAGUAUCGGAAAUUUUGUAAAGAAUUUGCUGACCUCUGAUCUAUGUACUAAUUCAUAGUACCUUUGGAGUAAUUUUAACACAAGUAUAUGCAGGUCUGCAGUGUGGAAAAGAUUAAAGUUUUUUACAAGUAUUAUAAGAAGAAAAUGUUCUAAAUCACUGUGAUUUUGUGAAGAUCAGGAUUUUGGGCAAUAUGUAUGUUGUAAAAGAAGAAAAUGUUCUAAAUCACUGUGAUUUUGUGAAGAUCAGGAUUUUGGGCAAUAUAUAUGUUGUAUGAGAAGAAAAUAUUCUAAAUCAAUAUCUUUUUGUGAAGAUCAGGAUUUGGGACAAUAUGUAUGGAAAAUAAAGAAAGUCAGAAAAAGAAGAAAGAUGCUUCUGUGUAUCACUUUGUAAUGAAAAAUGACCUGUAUUCAUAGUUCAGUAAACAUAUGGUGACAUCCAAUAGAUCAGUUUUGUUUAAAACCAAUUGUUUGUUAUGUGAAUUCCCCUGCCUGCUAUUAUUGAUAUUUGUAAAGACUCAUCUUUAACAAGCUUUAAAAAUAAAAAAAUAUAUAUAAAUGGA